UGCCAAUCUCUUUCUGCAGAUGCAUGACCUCAUAGAGUAGAUUCUGAAGCUGCAGGUGAAGAACAUCCACUCGCUGCUUCGCCUGUGGACAGAGGGAGAGACAGAAAAUUGCUGAGAAGAUGAAGACACAAAGGUUUGGAACAACGAGAGGGAAAUAUGACCCAGACCUCAUGAGAAUAUUGUGCACCAAGAAUGUGUAAAAUUGUCCUUUCACCCACAUGUGCAACACAGAAUUUGUGGGAUGUUUGACAGCUG